UUUUGUGGUUAUUUAUCAUGUGUAGGGGUCUAGUAGUCAACAUCCUGGCCAGAGGAAUAGCUCUGAGCUUGCUUCUGGACUUUUAAGUCGAUGGCUGUCUUUUCAUCAUCAUGGUGGAGUACAUGAUGAGAAAUCUAUUGCUCAUCACACUGUGAACUUGCUUACAUCAACAAUUAAAGUAGAUACUGACCAAUCAGAUUUGAGGUUUUGCUUCCGGUUCAUUUCACCAACAAAGAACUAUACUUUGCAGGCUUACAACCAUUUGUGACCCUUUUUCAUUGGGAUCUUCCCCAAGCUUUGCAAGAUGAAUACGGUGGCUUCUUAAAUCCACGCAUUAUAAAUGAUUUUCAAGACUACGCGGAACUUUGUUUUAAGGAAUUUGGAGAUAGGGUGAAGUAUUGGGUUACUUUAAAGUUACUAAAUUAUGAUUGUUGGUAGAAAUAGUUAGUUUACAGCUUCCUGUACUAAGAUUGAAGUUUAAAUUAAUCUUGAAUUGUUGCUUAAAAUUAAUUUUAUUCAUUGAUAGUUAGUUUACAGCUUCCUGCGCAAGGUCAGAUCUUUUCAUGAAUCUUUUCUGCAUUCUGCAGGUAAUGACUUGCAGGCCAAGGUCAGAUCUAUAAUUUUAUUCAUUAAAAUUAAUUGUUGCUUAAAAUUAAUUUUAUUCAUUAAUUAUGAUGAGGACACAUAAUUAAAUUGUUAGUGUUUAUUACUAUAUUGUUGUUUUAGGAAUACUAGAUUAUGUGAAGUUGGGGACCAAACCCCAUAAAUUUUGAUAUGAAUCAAUACUUUGUGAAAACUUUGCUUCUUACCACGUGAUUGAAUGUGAUGCUGAUACUCUGGAAACCAAUUGUAAAUUUGUGCAUCUGUCUAAGGUUUAAAACUAUUCCAUGAUUUCCAUCCUCAUGGGAAUAAGUCUACUAAUUUUUAAUAUUCAGUAUGUUAAAUAAAGUUUUUAAUCCGUGCAUGUGUGAAUAUGAACUUGAAAUGGUUGUUUUUUUAAUUCUUGGUAUUAAUGUAGAUGUAAAUGUGGCUGGUAGGUGAGAACUGAGAUACAGGCAAAUUUGGAUAUAGAUGUAGAUUUAUAAAUUGAGGAAAAUUAAUCUGUAUUUACAUUUUUCAGUUGUGGAUGUUUUGGGGAGGAGGUAAUACUUUAUUUACGACUUUUUUAAGCUGGACUACUUAGAUAGAUAGACUGCACAUAACAAACAUCCUUGUCUUUUAACUUAAAUGUUUGAGAGGAAGCAAGUUUUUUGGAUUGAUUGGUGAGUAUAAUAAGCACUUACAUCUUUCAAGCUCAGGAUUAUAAAUUGUUCAAUUGAGGACUCAUCAAUUAAUGUAUAUAUGUAUAUAGUUUGAAGGUACACCAACGAAAGGUGGUGUAUAUAUAUGUGUAUAUAUAUAUAUAUAUGUAUAUUGUUA